UACGUAGGGGGCAAGCGUUGUCCGGAUUUAUUGGGCGUAAAGAGCGUGUAGGCGGCUUGGUAGGUCCGCUGUGAAAACUCGAGGCUCAACCUCGAGAUGUCGGCGGAAACCACUUGGCUAGAGUCCGGAAGAGGAGAGUGGAAUUCCUGGUGUAGCGGUGAAAUGCGCAGAUAUCAGGAGGAACACCUAUGGCGAAGGCAGCUCUCUGGGACGGUACUGACGCUGAGACGCGAAAGCGUGGGGAGCGAACAGG
rnacentral:rRNA from 1 species